AGAGUUUGAUUCUGGCUCAGGAUGAACGCUAGCGGCAGGCCUAAUACAUGCAAGUCGAGGGGCAGCAGGGGUAGCAAUACUCGCUGGCGACCGGCGCACGGGUGCGUAACACGUAUGCAACUUUCCUUCAACUGGAAGAUAGCCCGAAGAAAUUCGGAUUAAUAUUCCAUAGUUAUAUGAAAUGGCAUCAUUUUAUAUUUAAAGCUCAGGCGGUUGAAGAUGGGCAUGCGUUCGAUUAGCUAGUUGGUGAGGUAAUGGCUCACCAAGGCUACGAUCGAUAGGGGAUCUGAGAGGAUUAACCCCCACACUGGUACUGAGACACGGACCAGACUCCUACGGGAGGCAGCAGUAAGGAAUAUUGGACAAUGGAGGCAACUCUGAUCCAGCCAUGCCGCGUGAAGGAUGAAGGUCCUAUGGAUUGUAAACUUCUUUUGAACGGGAGAAAGCCUUCGGUCGUGUACCGAAGCUGAUAGUACCGUUAGAAUAAGGGUCGGCUAACUUCGUGCCAGCAGCCGCGGUAAUACGAAGGACCCGAGCGUUAUCCGGAUUUAUUGGGUUUAAAGGGUGCGUAGGCGGAAUGGUAAGUCAGUGGUGAAAUCUUGUGGCUUAACUGCAAAACUGCCAUUGAUACUGCCAAUCUUGAGUACAUUUGAUGUGGGCGGAAUGUGCCAUGUAGUGGUGAAAUACUUAGAUAUGGCACAGAACACCGAUCGCGAAGGCAGCUCACAAAACUGUUACUGACGCUGAGGCACGAAAGCGUGGGGAUCAAACAGGAUUAGAUACCCUGGUAGUCCACGCCUUAAACUAUGAUUACUCGAUGUGUGCGACACACAGUACGCAUCUAAGCGAAAGCGUUAAGUAAUCCACCUGGGGAGUACGGUCGCAAGAUUGAAACUCAAAGAAAUUGACGGGGGCCCGCACAAGCGGAGGAGCACGUGGUUUAAUUCGAUGAUACGCGAGGAACCUUACCUGGGCUUGAAAGUUAGUGAAUGCUGUGGAAACAUGGCAGGCCGCAAGGACACGAAACUAGGUGCUGCAUGGCUGUCGUCAGCUCGUGCCGUGAGGUGUUGGGUUAAGUCCCGCAACGAGCGCAACCCCUAUCUUUAGUUGCCAGCGAGUAAUGUCGGGGACUCUAGAGAAACUGCCCGUGCAAACGGUGAGGAAGGUGGGGAUGACGUCAAGUCAGCACGGCCCUUACGUCCAGGGCUACACACGUGCUACAAUGGCGAGUACAAAGGGCAGCUACAUGGUGACAUGAUGCUAAUCUCUAAAAACUCGUCUCAGUUCGGAUUGAAGUCUGCAAUUCGACUUCAUGAAGCUGGAUUCGCUAGUAAUCGAAUAUCAGCAAUGAUUCGGUGAAUACGUUCCCGGGCCUUGUACACACCGCCCGUCAAACAAUGGAAGCUGAGGGUACUUAAAGUCGAUAACCGCAAGGAGUCGCCUAGGGUAAAAUCGGUAACUGGUGUUAAGUCGGAACAAGGUA
rnacentral:rRNA from 1 species